CGAACCUUCGGCGUCUACCAUGCAGUCGACGGUGAGCAGAGCUUGCUCUGUGGAUCAGUGGCGAACGGGUGAGUAACACGUGAGCAAUCUGCCCCUGACUCUGGGAUAAGCGCUGGAAACGGCGUCUAAUACCGGAUACGAGCUGCGACCGCAUGGUCAGUAGCUGGAAAGAAUUUCGGUCAGGGAUGAGCUCGCGGCCUAUCAGCUUGUUGGUGAGGUAAUGGCUCACCAAGGCGUCGACGGGUAGCCGGCCUGAGAGGGUGACCGGCCACACUGGGACUGAGACACGGCCCAGACUCCUACGGGAGGCAGCAGUGGGGAAUAUUGCACAAUGGGCGCAAGCCUGAUGCAGCAACGCCGCGUGAGGGAUGACGGCCUUCGGGUUGUAAACCUCUUUUAGCAGGGAAGAAGCGAAAGUGACGGUACCUGCAGAAAAAGCGCCGGCUAACUACGUGCCAGCAGCCGCGGUAAUACGUAGGGCGCAAGCGUUAUCCGGAAUUAUUGGGCGUAAAGAGCUCGUAGGCGGUCUGUCGCGUCUGCUGUGAAAACCCGAGGCUCAACCUCGGGCCUGCAGUGGGUACGGGCAGACUAGAGUGCGGUAGGGGAGAUUGGAAUUCCUGGUGUAGCGGUGGAAUGCGCAGAUAUCAGGAGGAACACCGAUGGCGAAGGCAGAUCUCUGGGCCGUAACUGACGCUGAGGAGCGAAAGGGUGGGGAGCAAACAGGCUUAGAUACCCUGGUAGUCCACCCCGUAAACGUUGGGAACUAGUUGUGGGGUCCAUUCCACGGAUUCCGUGACGCAGCCUAACGCAUUAAGUUCCCCGCCCUGGGGGAGUACGGGCCGCAAGGGCUAAAACUCAAAGGAAAUUUGACGGGG
rnacentral:rRNA from 1 species